rnacentral:rRNA from 1 species
AGAGUUUGAUCCUGGCUCAGAGCGAACGCUGGCGGCAGGCUUAACACAUGCAAGUCGAGCGGGCGUAGCAAUACGUCAGCGGCAGACGGGUGAGUAACGCGUGGGAACGUACCUUUUGGUUCGGAACAACACAGGGAAACUUGUGCUAAUACCGGAUAAGCCCUUACGGGGAAAGAUUUAUCGCCGAAAGAUCGGCCCGCGUCUGAUUAGCUAGUUGGUGAGGUAACGGCUCACCAAGGCGACGAUCAGUAGCUGGUCUGAGAGGAUGAUCAGCCACAUUGGGACUGAGACACGGCCCAAACUCCUACGGGAGGCAGCAGUGGGGAAUAUUGGACAAUGGGCGCAAGCCUGAUCCAGCCAUGCCGCGUGAGUGAUGAAGGCCCUAGGGUUGUAAAGCUCUUUUGUGCGGGAAGAUAAUGACGGUACCGCAAGAAUAAGCCCCGGCUAACUUCGUGCCAGCAGCCGCGGUAAUACGAAGGGGGCUAGCGUUGCUCGGAAUCACUGGGCGUAAAGGGUGCGUAGGCGGGUCUUUAAGUCAGGGGUGAAAUCCUGGAGCUCAACUCCAGAACUGCCCUUGAUACUGAGGAUCUUGAGUUCGGGAGAGGUGAGUGGAACUGCGAGUGUAGAGGUGAAAUUCGUAGAUAUUCGCAAGAACACCAGUGGCGAAGGCGGCUCACUGGCCCGAUACUGACGCUGAGGCACGAAAGCGUGGGGAGCAAACAGGAUUAGAUACCCUGGUAGUCC